CAGGAAGGGGGUACACGGAGCUUCCAUCAGCCUACAUUCGCCUCUCCCUCCCGUCAGCUGCUUGCUCUGAAAGCCCCUAAUCAUUUCCCUUAUUGUCAGGCUGAACACAAAGCAGGGCAAAGCCGUGUCAAAGCUGCACCUCUCUCAGCAGAAAGCCCAGAGCUGGAAGCAGGAUGCCUCUUCGAGUGGAAGCAGUCCUUGCUUAGGAAAAUACUUCUUGAAAGACAUGGUGUGAACGAUGGAAUGCACUGACAGCCCUGCAUCUGGUCCUGAGCAGCAGCCGUGCCCCGCGGCGGAGCCUCUACUUGGACUCUGGGCUGGGCCAUGUCCAUGAGAGGACAGCAAAUGUUGUGCAAGCAGAGGCCUGAAGGAAGGCUGGCACGUGUCCACUCCCUCUCCGCCGUCCUGCCACCACCAUGAGAACGUGCCUGGGCUGGGCUGCUGGAGGGCCGUGAGAGACACAGGAAAGAGAGUUAGUCAUCCCAGCCAAGGUCAUCCUAGACGAGCCAGCCCCAGGAUGACCCACCAGCCGAUGACCUACACGUGAACAAGCCCAGCCAAGGUCAGUCUAAUCCAGCCAAGAUCAGCAGGACCACCCAGCUAACCCAU
rnacentral:lncRNA from 1 species